rnacentral:rRNA from 1 species
UACAGAGGGUGCUAGCGUUGUCCGGAAUCAUUGGGCGUAAAGCGCGUGUAGGCGGCCCGGUAAGUCCGCUGUGAAAGUCGGGGGCUCAACCCUCGAAUGCCGGUGGAUACUGUCGGGCUAGAGUGCGGAAGAGGCGAGUGGAAUUCCUGGUGUAGCGGUGAAAUGCGCAGAUAUCAGGAGGAACACCAAUUGCGAAGGCAGCUCGCUGGGACGUGACUGACGCUGAGACGCGAAAGCGUGGGGAGCAAACAGG